GAUGAACGCUGGCGGCGUGCCUAAUACAUGCAAGUCGAGCGAACGGACGAGAAGCUUGCUUCUCUGAUGUUAGCGGCGGACGGGUGAGUAACACGUGGAUAACCUACCUAUAAGACUGGGAUAACUUCGGGAAACCGGAGCUAAUACCGGAUGAUAUUUUUAACCGCAUUGUUCAAACGUGAAAGACGGUCUUGCUGUCACUUAUAGAUGGAUCCGCGCUGCAUUAGCUAGUUGGUAAGGUAACGGCUUACCAAGGCAACGAUGCAUAGCCGACCUGAGAGGGUGAUCGGCCACACUGGAACUGAGACACGGUCCAGACUCCUACGGGAGGCAGCAGUAGGGAAUCUUCCGCAAUGGGCGAAAGCCUGACGGAGCAACGCCGCGUGAGUGAUGAAGGUCUUCGGAUCGUAAAACUCUGUUAUUAGGGAAGAACAUAUGUGUAAGUAACUGUGCACAUCUUGACGGUACCUAAUCAGAAAGCCACGGCUAACUACGUG
rnacentral:rRNA from 1 species